rnacentral:tRNA from 1 species
AAAUAAGAAGCAAUAAUUUGCAUUUAAUUUCGACUUAAAAGAUAGAGAAAAAUCUCCUUAUUUA